AACGCGAAGAACCUUACCUGGUCUUGACAUCCCGGUGACGUAGGGGUAACGCCCUAUUCCCUUCGGGGCACUGGAGACAGGUGGUGCAUGGUUGUCGUCAGCUCGUGUCGUGAGAUGUUGGGUUAAGUCCCGCAACGAGCGCAACCCUUAUCUUUAGUAGCCAGCAUUUAGGAUGGGAACUCUAGAGAGACUGCCGGGGAUAACCCGGAGGAAGGUGGGGAUGACGUCAAAUCAUCAUGCCCCUUAUGAUCAGGGCUACACACGUGCUACAAUGGCGUAAACAAAGGGAGGCGAAGCCGUGAGGUGAAGCAAAUCCCAAAAAUAACGUCUCAGUUCGGAUUGUAGUCUGCAACUCGACUACAUGAAGCUGGAAUCGCUAGUAAUCGCGAAUCAGAAUGUCGCGGUGAAUACGUUCCCGGGCCUUGUACACACCGAUACUC
rnacentral:rRNA from 1 species